UACGUAGGGUGCGAGCGUUGUCCGGAAUUAUUGGGCGUAAAGGGCUCGUAGGCGGUUUGUCACGUCGGGAGUGAAAACUCAGGGCUCAACCCUGAGCCUGCUUCCGAUACGGGCAGACUAGAGGUAUGCAGGGGAGAACGGAAUUCCUGGUGUAGCGGUGAAAUGCGUAGAUAUCAGGAGGAACACCUGUGGCGAAAGCGGCUCACUGGACCAUAACUGACGCUGAUGCACGAAAGCUAGGGGAGCAAACAGG
rnacentral:rRNA from 1 species